UGGAAAUAACUCUACAAAGGAAUAAUCCUCUUGGCCACUAAAAACAAAAUCAGUCAAGAAGGGAAAGGAAGAAAACAAAUAUGUGACUAUUCAACUGAAGGUGUGAAGACGGAGUGAAGAGAAAGAUGAGAAAUUAGCCAAAAGUUUUUUAAAAAAAUAAAAAGAAAAAAAUAUAGUUGCGGCUUCUAUUAAAACCGCCCAAAUUUAGUAAAUGUUUUUAAAAUUGUAGAAAAAAAAACCCUAUUAUAUUAUA
rnacentral:lncRNA from 1 species